rnacentral:rRNA from 1 species
UAUGGUGAUAAAAGCAAGAGGGAUACACCUGUACCCAUGCCGAACACAGAAGUUAAGCCU